rnacentral:lncRNA from 1 species
GUUUUUGCAAAAAAAAGAAAAAAGAAAAAAAGAAGUGUUUUUUUCUUUUUUUUUGAGAAAUAGGUAGCGAGCUACCUGCUUCAUUCAUUAAGCAAAAUAAACUAGACAUACAAAGUGAAAGCAGCUUCGGCCUCCGAAAACAGGUUAAAAAAUAGUAUGAAGAAGCGAAAAAAAAAGGAAAAGGGAUGAAGGAGGAAGUAGAAAAAAAAGAAAAGUAGGAUGCAGAAAACUAAAGACAGAUCAUAGUAGCUCAUUCCA